UAUAAAACUAGCAAACAAAAUUACAUGCUGAUACUUUUGCUUUCUGUCUUGUUUAUUUUCUCCAUAGGUCAGAAUGAUGUUCUGGCGAUUUGAAACAAAAUCAGAAAACACACUGUACUUGGCCACUGGCCAGCUCAUCUAGUCUGACAGCUACUCUUUUCUCCUCCCAUCAGACGGGGAGUAAAUAUUAUCUUUGAGUCUUGCAGCAACUAAACAAUCUGUCAGGAUCAAAACAAGAGAAAGGAACUAUGAGUCAGAUCUUUACGGAUUGAGCCCAGCAAUAAAAAAGAAAACAGGUAAUUCAUUGUUGUAGAAAAACUUUGUUAAUUCUUUUUUAAAAAUACAUUUGAAAAGCCAAUUCGUAUUUCCAGACUGUAUUUUCUAAUUCUCUCUCUUUCCUUUUUCUAUGUAGAUCAGAAUGAUAUAAGAUGUUAUUCAGAGAAAUAUUUCAGGAACAGGAACCAAAAUACAGUGUUUUCUCAGAGAAGUUUAUCAAAAGAAGCUUCAGGCACAUACUCAUUUUCUCUGCAGCUUGUGAAUGAGGAUGUUACUGGAAGAUCUGCAUUCCAUUCCUGCUCGUGUACAGUGACAAUAAACUGAAGUCAAGUUAUGACAGUGUAUUGAGACACAACAGCAGCAAGAUUAUAUAAAACAUCAUUCAGAGAAAUCUUUCCUUUGUGUUUCAGGAUCCAGAAUACAGCGUUACGGAAGGAGGUUCAGUCUCAUACUAAUGUAAGUUCACGAGUUUAUUCACUCAUUAUUUGAUCAUUGCUGCUCUUUCCAACAAAAUGUGAUUAGGUAACACCCAACUCAUCUUUUAUAAUGUAUAAUGUAGAGAUAUCAGGAAUCGUAUUGCAAAUGUCAAAGCUGUUUUUCCAGAAACGCAUAGUUUAUUCACAUUACUAAAGCAAAUGAAACAAAUGUGUAGUUUGGAGAUCACAGGAGUCAUUGUAUAGGUUAACACUUGAGUAUUUUAAUAAUUAUAUAAUCAUAUAUCAUAAGACAAGUGACUAAACAAAACAAUAUUGUUCCUAGUUCAAUUAUCAUAAUAAACUUAUUUAUAUACAGCUGUUGUCA
ensembl:lncRNA